AAAUUGAAGAGUUUGAUCAUGGCUCAGAUUGAACGCUGGCGGCAGGCCUAACACAUGCAAGUCGAGCGGAAACGAGUUAUCUGAACCUUCGGGGAACGAUAACGGCGUCGAGCGGCGGACGGGUGAGUAAUGCCUAGGAAAUUGCCCUGAUGUGGGGGAUAACCAUUGGAAACGAUGGCUAAUACCGCAUAAUGCCUACGGGCCAAAGAGGGGGACCUUCGGGCCUCUCGCGUCAGGAUAUGCCUAGGUGGGAUUAGCUAGUUGGUGAGGUAAUGGCUCACCAAGGCGACGAUCCCUAGCUGGUCUGAGAGGAUGAUCAGCCACACUGGAACUGAGACACGGUCCAGACUCCUACGGGAGGCAGCAGUGGGGAAUAUUGCACAAUGGGCGCAAGCCUGAUGCAGCCAUGCCGCGUGUGUGAAGAAGGCCUUCGGGUUGUAAAGCACUUUCAGUCGUGAGGAAGGUAGUGUAGUUAAUAGCUGCAUUAUUUGACGUUAGCGACAGAAGAAGCACCGGCUAACUCCGUGCCAGCAGCCGCGGUAAUACGGAGGGUGCGAGCGUUAAUCGGAAUUACUGGGCGUAAAGCGCAUGCAGGUGGUUUGUUAAGUCAGAUGUGAAAGCCCGGGGCUCAACCUCGGAAUAGCAUUUGAAACUGGCAGACUAGAGUACUGUAGAGGGGGGUAGAAUUUCAGGUGUAGCGGUGAAAUGCGUAGAGAUCUGAAGGAAUACCGGUGGCGAAGGCGGCCCCCUGGACAGAUACUGACACUCAGAUGCGAAAGCGUGGGGAGCAAACAGGAUUAGAUACCCUGGUAGUCCACGCCGUAAACGAUGUCUACUUGGAGGUUGUGGCCUUGAGCCGUGGCUUUCGGAGCUAACGCGUUAAGUAGACCGCCUGGGGAGUACGGUCGCAAGAUUAAAACUCAAAUGAAUUGACGGGGGCCCGCACAAGCGGUGGAGCAUGUGGUUUAAUUCGAUGCAACGCGAAGAACCUUACCUACUCUUGACAUCCAGAGAACUUUCCAGAGAUGGAUUGGUGCCUUCGGGAACUCUGAGACAGGUGCUGCAUGGCUGUCGUCAGCUCGUGUUGUGAAAUGUUGGGUUAAGUCCCGCAACGAGCGCAACCCUUAUCCUUGUUUGCCAGCGAGUAAUGUCGGGAACUCCAGGGAGACUGCCGGUGAUAAACCGGAGGAAGGUGGGGACGACGUCAAGUCAUCAUGGCCCUUACGAGUAGGGCUACACACGUGCUACAAUGGCGCAUACAGAGGGCAGCAAGCUAGCGAUAGUGAGCGAAUCCCAAAAAGUGCGUCGUAGUCCGGAUUGGAGUCUGCAACUCGACUCCAUGAAGUCGGAAUCGCUAGUAAUCGUGGAUCAGAAUGCCACGGUGAAUACGUUCCCGGGCCUUGUACACACCGCCCGUCACACCAUGGGAGUGGGCUGCAAAAGAAGUAGGUAGUUUAACCUUCGGGAGGACGCUUACCACUUUGUGGUUCAUGACUGGGGUGAAGUCGUAACAAGGUAGCGCUAGGGGAACCUGGCGCUGGAUCACCUCCUUAAACGAUGAU
rnacentral:rRNA from 2 species